GGCGGAGUCAACAUUGAAUAUUUAUUAAUCGCCGUCGAAGGACGCUCGGUAAUUACAGGUUCGCCGCGAAUCGCACCGGCGGCGGCUCGUCACGGCCCCGGCGGGGACCGGGCUGCGAGCGUCCAGCGGGGCCGGGGCUGGGGAGGGGGGGGGCGGGGAGGGCGGGGAGGGAGGGGGGGCCCCGGGGAGGUUUGGGGGGGGGGGGGGGGCCGAUGCAUGCAGUAUCGCCGGGCCCCCCGGCCCCGCGCCCCCGCGCUCCGCCGCCGCCGCCAAAGCAGUUGUCCGCGGCGGCGGGGACCGGGGAAGCGGGGGGAGCGGGGAGCGGGGGAGCGGCUCCCGGCGCGGGGGGGGCUCUUGCAUAUCGUUGGCCAUAAAUAUUUAUUAAUCGAAAUGAAACGGAACAGAAACACGAAAGCACUUCUGGUGUCGGACAGGCGGGUCCCCUUUGCUACAACGGUUUGUGGUUUGUUUUUUUUUUUCUUUUUCUUUUUUUUGUUUUUCCCGGUUUUUUUUUUUUUUGCAAAACUUUUUUUUUUUUUGGUUUUUUUUUUUGUUUUUUGUUUUUUUUUUUUUUUCGUUUUGAAAACAUUUCUCAGAAAUCAUCCUCCUCCUCCCUGGUCUCUAAAAAUGCUGGUUUCUCGAAGGUGGUGCGGGCAGGUUCCAAAAAAAAAAAAAAAAAAAAAAAAAAAAGAGCGUUAUCUCGGCUUUACGGCGUCUCCCGACCGAAGGAAUGCGGCAAACCGGAGCGAAGACACACGGGCCGGGCCCGGGCGCCGCGGGGGGGGGCGCAGCCCCGCCAGGCCCCCCCGGAGCCCCGCUUGCAUAGCUGCGGGCUGCCCUGCCGCGCCCGGCCCCGGCUCCGCCAGCUCGGGAAAACCGGGGCGGCUCCGCGGGGUUGGGUUGGUUUUUUUUGUUUUUGUUUUUUUUUUGAAAUUAUUAUUAUCAUUUUUUUGUUGUUGUUCUCCUUUUUUUUUUUUUUUUUUUCCGUUUCAAGUUUUUAAAACAGGUAAAAAACGUCCUGACACACGCGCUGCGAGAGGAGCUCCCGGGGCCGGGAGCGGGGCCGGGGCCCCCCCAAAGCAAAGUGCAUCUCUGAGCGUCCGCCGGGCCGGGCCUGCUUGCAUAGAUAGAAAUGUGGGUUCCUCCCUUCGCCUCUUUAUUGCUUCGGAAAGUUUCGCUCCGCGCCGCAGCGCGGGCUCCUCUCGCUCCCACGGGCCGGGGCAGCGGGUGUCCAAUGCCGGGG
rnacentral:lncRNA from 1 species